UAUGUUGAUCAAAGAUGGAUU
rnacentral:piRNA from 1 species